rnacentral:rRNA from 1 species
AGAGGGUGAUCGGCCACACUGGGACUGAGACACGGCCCAGACUCCUACGGGAGGCAGCAGUAGGGAAUCUUCCGCAAUGGACGAAAGUCUGACGGAGCAACGCCGCGUGAGUGAAGAAGGGUUUCGGCUCGUAAAACUCUGUUGUCAGGGAAGAACGCCGACGGGAGUAACUGCCCGUCGGGUGACGGUACCUGACCAGAAAGCCACGGCUAACUACGUGCCAGCAGCCGCGGUAAUACGUAGGUGGCAAGCGUUAUCCGGAAUUAUUGGGCGUAAAGCGCGCGUAGGCGGUUCGUUAAGUCUGAUGUGAAAGCCCCCGGCUCAACCGGGGAGGGUCAUUGGAAACUGGCGGACUUGAGUGCAGAAGAGGAGAGUGGAAUUCCAUGUGUAGCGGUGAAAUGCGCAGAGAUAUGGAGGAACACCAGUGGCGAAGGCGGCUCUCUGGUCUGCAACUGACGCUGAGGUGCGAAAGCGUGGGGAUCAAACAGGAUUAGAUACCCUGGUAGUCCACGCCGUAAACGAUGAGUGCUAGGUGUUAGACCCUUUCCGGGGUUUAGUGCCGUAGCUAACGCAUUAAGCACUCCGC